rnacentral:rRNA from 1 species
GGAUUAGAUACCCUGGUAGUCCUAGCCGUAAACGGUGCACACUUGCUGUAGGCGGAUUCGACCCCGUCUGUGGCGGAGCAAACGCGUUAAGUGUGCCGCCUGGGGAGUACGGUCGCAAGAUUAAAACUCAAAGAAAUUGACGGGGGCCUGCACAAGCGGUGGAGUAUGUGGCUUAAUUCGAUGCAACGCGAAGAACCUUACCUGGCCUUGACAUGCAUCUCUAAGUGUGUGAAAGCACAUGACCCCUCGGGGAAUUUGCACAGGUGCUGCAUGGCUGUCGUCAGCUCGUGCCG